rnacentral:rRNA from 1 species
UACGAAGGGGGCUAGCGUUGCUCGGAUUGACUGGGCGUAAAGGGCGCGUAGGCGGUUCGUACAGUCAGACGUGAAAUUCCUGGGCUCAACCUGGGGGCUGCGUUUGAUACGUGCGGACUUGAGUGCGGAAGAGGGCCGUGGAAUUCCCAGUGUAGAGGUGAAAUUCGUAGAUAUUGGGAAGAACACCGGUGGCGAAGGCGGCGACCUGGUCCGAUACUGACGCUGAGGUGCGAAAGCGUGGGGAGCAAACAGG